rnacentral:lncRNA from 1 species
AAACCAGCACUAUGUAUGAGUGCUGUGCCACUGCUGUCUCUGUAACUGGCAGCACUUGCUUAGGGCUCCUAAGAUUGGCUCCUUAUGGGGUUGGCUUUUUCAUGAACUUCGGUGUGAGAAACAGUGCCUCAGUAUCUGUCUGAGUAGAAGUCUCAUAAGCCAUUGCCUCUGGGACCCAGGUUUUGCUUGGCUUUCACAAGCCCUCCCCAGGAUGUGAAUUGAGGCUUUGAAUCCCAGUUCCUGCUGCCAACAACUUGACUCUGCUGAUGCCAGUGACAAGUCGGCAACUCUGUUUACAAUGAUAACAUGGCAUCAACAAUCAUAAGAGCUUGUCUAUCUCAUACUGGUUACAGGCCUCCUGUGGCUGCUGUCAGACUCCACUUGACCUCUAAGAAUGGUCCCCACAAUCCUAUCCACCCUAGAUGCUGUGACAUCAGCCCUCCGUCUGCCUGGCUCUAUGAUGGGAUUCAUUCUGAGGCUACUCUCUCUGGAUGGUCAGCUUAUUCUCAAGGUUAACCUGGGCCAAAUCCUGAUCCAGAUAAAGCAUCACUGAUAUUUUUGUCCAUCAUAAUGUUUGUCUGCAAGAAAAGUUACCUAGUUUAUCAAAUGUCUACUUCAUUUCCAAAAAGUGAGGUUCACGUUCACUGCCAUGGCAAAGGCUGGCCUUCCUUCGUUCAAUGAAUUAAGACUAUAUGCUUUGGGCUUACAUUUACUAUCUAGGAAAUAAUUCUGUUUCCCAAAAUAUGGGCCACGUGCCAUCAGUGGUUUGUGAAUUUUUUAAUGUGGCACACUGACUUGACAUCACUUACAUUAUAUUGCACAGUGAGAACAUUGCUUUCUUUUUAAUUCUAUUUGAAACCAGUUGGUGGAGUCAGAAAAGAAAAACGUCUCGGUUUGGGAUUAGUAUAUCUUCCCCAUUUUAUCUUUUGUUAAUCUCUCUUUUUAUAUAAUAAAGAGGAGGCCAUGGGCUGAGAACUCCAGUAGACUAACAGUGACUCUCAAGUAUGUGAUAACAUUGUCUUCUUUACCAUUCUAUUUAUUUGUAUGGUUACCUUCCAUUUAUGGCAGGUAGUACUGACUUUCCAUUUGUAGCAGUGAUUUAAAGUUCCUUUUGUAAGUAAAUAUGUAUAAGAAAGAAGAUGAUUUUGUUUAAAGAAGAGUAUCAUAUCAACUAGGAUAUGGGUGUUAGGAAGGCGCAGCAAAAAUCAUUAUGGUCAAAAAGACUGAAAUUUGGAAAACGUUGAUGAAAGAAAUGCAUUGUCCUUUGUGCCAACUCACCAUGAGUAGAACAAACUCUGAAUAGUGUUUAUUUUUCUCUUUUGCCAGCAGUGAGAAUAAACUGCAAGGAGUGAUUAUACAUUCUAUAAAUAUUUUCUGAGAGCUUAAUCAACAAGUUACUCUCUAUUGCACCUUUGAGAACAAAGUUUAGGUCCCCCAAUACCUUCAUCCUCAGCACAGACUCUGCCUGCCUCCUCACUCUCAUCUGCCAAUCUCUCCAAAGUGCCCCACAAUCCCACCAUAGUGGUCUUUCUCCAGUUCCUCAAAUCUUAAUACAUCUCUUCCCUUCUGCCUCUAGGCCUUUGCACAUACUGGCCCCUCUCUCUGGAAUACCCUUCCUUCCUUCCACCUCUUCUUUUUUCACUUGACCAAGUCAGCUAUUGGUCUAAAUGUUGCUUUUUUUCAGAGACAACUUGCUUGACUUUCAGGCCAGUUGAGCAUCUCCCCGAUGGCAUCUCAUUCUUCUACUCUGAGGCACUCUUCACAAUUGUAAUCAAGUAACCAUUUAGGUAUUGAUUUGUGUCAUGUCUGUCCCCUGCUGGACUGUAAGCUUGUGAGAGUAGUGAGCUUGCCUUAUGGUUGGUUCUCAAUAAGUAUUUUUGUAAAUGACUGAAUCAUGACCUAUGACAGCAUAUUACGUAGACACCAGGGCCCUAAAAUAAAACUUAGGUAACUAAAUGAAAAGAACAAAAUGAUUUUAACAAUUAAGGAUUGAAGUCAGGUACCUCUGACCACUAGUCAUAACAAGUGGCCAAAAUUAUGUGUGCAUUCAGUGAAUCAAAUCACCCAAGCACACAAACCUGGCCCUCUACAUUUAUUGCUUAUAAAAACAAAAGAUUGAGAACAUUGGUUGAAGCCAGAUGUUCUGCAGGCUGGAUCUCAUUGUCCUAACAUGACAGAUUCUCAUAACUGGAAAUGUGUGUAUUUGAGAUGCUGGAACAUAAGAUCCAACCCAGAAAAUAUUUUGAAAUAAUGUUUUUCAAUUACUUAAUCCUUGUUAGGCUAUUGAAG